CGUGAUUUCCACGUGCACAGACCAGGGCAGAAAACGCAGAAACGCAGCGACGACACCCUAACCUCACGUCUCGCGACCCGACACCUCCUCCAGCAUCCUGAGAGCGGAGCAUCGCGUCCUCUCGCGACCCUCUUGUGACCUCCAUGAGCAGAACCCAGCGAGCCGCCGGCGACGACCCUCUUCUCCUACUCCUCUGAGCCCUCGCCCUCUCUCAAACUCCUCAACCUCAGCCGCCGUUAGACCUCCCUGAGCAGAACCCAGCGAGCCGCCGGCGACGACCCUCUUCUCUUACUCCUUAGAAUUCAGCGCGGAUCCUCUGGUCCCUCCCUACCCUGGUCCCUCCUUGGACCACAAAACACAUAUAAAAAGUUGCUUCACGUGAUUUCCACGUGCACAGACCAGGGCAGAAAAUUCAAAAACGCAGCGACGGCGCCCUAACCUCACGUCUCGCGACCUGACACCUCCUCCGGCAUCCUGAGAGCGGAGCGUCGCGUCCUCUCGCGACCCUCCUGUGACCUCCCUGAGCAGAACCCAAUGAGCCGCCGCCGACGACCCUCUUCUCCUACUCCUCAGAGCCCGAGCCCUCUCUCAAACUCCUCAACCUCUGCCGGCCUUAGGGCUUAUUUGCGGUAAAACGAAAGAAAAAUCAUGGCAGCUGGCUCAUCAUCAGCAUCAUCUUUCACUCGACGAAGCAUGAACGACGAGCAAUGUGAAGCUCCCCACAUAUUAUGUUAUUGUGGGUUACGAGCUAUUCUCCAGACAUCAUGGACGGAAUCCAACCCAGGAUGGCGAUUUUUUUCAUGUCCAAAUUUUAGAAAAAGGGGAUGUGGCUUUUUCUUAUAGCAUGGCCCAGAACUGUCAGAGAGAAGGAAGACAAUUAAUUAAUGAGUUAAAGAGGAAUAACAAAAAAUUAAAGUUGCAGAUUAGUGAAUUGGAGAAAAGUAUUAGCUACAAGGGUGCUGUUGAAUACAAUGAUGUUCUGGAUGAUGGGAACAACAAUCAUGUAAUUAUACAGUUCAAUGACGAAAUACAUUCAUUGAAUAGGAAAUUUAGAGUUGCUAUCGUUGUAGUUGUAUGUACCUGGAUUGUGAUGAUGGGGAUGUGAUUGAUGUAACUUAUUUUGUGAUGUAACUUGACAUUUUAAUGUAACUCUAAAUGAUGUAACUUGUUUUGUUAUACAAAAUAAACUAGUUCUGUUAUGCUUUUUA